UUGAAAUUACAAAGAGAGAAAGAAAGAGCCUGGGGGGGGGGGGGAGAUCCUGCAUUUGUUUCUCUUUUCCCUUUUUUUCACCUUUGUGUCAAAGAGAGUACAGCUUACCACAUGGCUGCAAAACUUUUGGGUCUCUGGAUUGAUGCCCAUGAUAGA